GAUGAACGCUAGCGAUAGGCUUAACACAUGCAAGUCGAGGGGCAGCAUAGUUGUAGUUUACUACAAUUGAUGGCGACCGGCGGAUGGGUGAGUAACGCGUAUGCAAUCUACCUUUAAAUGGGGGACAGCCCGAAGAAAUUCGGAUUAAUACCCCGUAAUGUAUAUAGUUCGCAUGAAUUUUAUACUAUAGAUUUAUCGUUUAGAGAUGAGCAUGCGUCCCAUUAGUUAGUUGGUAAGGUAACGGCUUACCAAGGCAUCGAUGGGUAGGGGAACUGAGAGGUUUAUCCCCCACACUGGUACUGAGACACGGACCAGACUCCUACGGGAGGCAGCAGUGAGGAAUAUUGGUCAAUGAGCGAGAGCUUGAACCAGCCAAGUCGCGUGAAGGAUGACUGCCCUAUGGGUUNUAAACUUCUUUAUAUGGGAAUAAAGUGGGUUACGUGUAACCUUUUGUAUGUACCAUAUGAAUAAGCAUCGGCUAACUUCGUGCCAGCCGCGCGGUAAU
rnacentral:rRNA from 1 species